rnacentral:rRNA from 1 species
GAUGAACGCUGGCGGCGUGCCUAAUACAUGCAAGUCGAGCGAACAGACGAGGAGCUUGUGCCUUUGACGUUAGCGGCGGACGGGUGUGUAACACGUGGAUAACCUACUUAUAAGUCUGGGAUAACUACGGGAAACCGGAGCUAAUACCGGAGAAUAUAUUGAACCGCAUGGUUCAAUAGUGAAAGACGGCUUUGCUGGCUCGUAUAGAGGGAUCCGCGCCGCAUUAGGUAGUUGGUGGGGUAACGGCCUACCAAGGGGACGAGGCGUAGCCGAGCUGAGAGGGUGAUCGGCCACACUGGAACUGGGACACGGACCAGGCUCCUACGGGAGGCAGCAGUAGGGAAUCUUCGGCAAUGGGCGAAAGCCUGACGGAGCAACCCCGCGUGAGUGAUGAAGGCCUUCGGAUCGUAAAGCUCUGUUAUUAGGGAAGAACAAAUGUGUAAGUAACUAUGCACGUCUUGACGGUACCUAAUCAGAAAGCAACGGCUAACUACGUG